rnacentral:rRNA from 1 species
GUGGGGAAUCUUAGACAAUGGGGGAAACCCUGAUCUAGCCAUGCCGCGUGAGCGAUGAAGGCCUUAGGGUUGUAAAGCUCUUUCAGCUGGGAAGAUAAUGACGGUACCAGCAGAAGAAGCCCCGGCUAACUCCGUGCCAGCAGCCGCGGUAAUACGGAGGGGGCUAGCGUUGUUCGGAAUUACUGGGCGUAAAGCGCACGUAGGCGGAUCAGAAAGUCAGAGGUGAAAUCCCAGGGCUCAACCUUGGAACUGCCUUUGAAACUCCUGGUCUUGAGGUCGAGAGAGGUGAGUGGAAUUCCGAGUGUAGAGGUGAAAUUCGUAGAUAUUCGGAGGAACACCAGUGGCGAAGGCGGCUCACUGGCUCGAUACUGACGCUGAGGUGCGAAAGCGUGGGGAGCAAACAGGAUUAGAAACCCCUGUAGUCC